AAUUUGUACCCCCCGUCCGGAAAUACUUGUCCUAGAAAUGGAUAUAAAUGGAUGCAUCUAAAACAAAAAUACAUCUAGAUACAUCUAUUCCUUCGACAAGUAUUUCCGGACGGAGGGAGUACUAA
rfam:Triticum aestivum genome assembly, contig: Triticum_aestivum_CS42_TGACv1_scaffold_080560_1DS